GCUGAAUCAGAAGUCACCUGUAUGAGAGAGACGUUCCUCAUCUUUGCAGUUUUCAAAGGUGCCCAGUUGCCUUGUGCAGCCACCAAUGCCAAACCAUCAAGGACCUUUUGGGUCAUCAGAAAAAGCACCUGGAGGAAGGACACCAAGUAUGCUGUCCGAAAUGGACGAUCGAGACGACAUCAGAAGUUCAAUUUCAAGUGUUCUACCGGACCUCCCUGGAUCCAUCCUGAAUAUUGUGGAGGAGACACUGCAGUCUCUGGGAGUGGGGACCAUUGAUGAUUUCCAGUUUGUCCAAGAGGCUGAUCUCCUGUCUGUUUUACGACCAAUACAAGCCAGAAAACUUGUAGCUUCUUGGAAGCAAACAUGUAAGUACAACUCAAUUGAAAUCCCUUUACAUAACCAAAGAUGUCAGCUUGGUUGUUUGAUCAGUUUAAUCUCAUGUGACCUGACUGCAGCUGUUGCUGGGAUACAGCACUGUGGCAUGUAGUUUGUUUGUAGUGCAUAGUUGAAAG